rnacentral:sRNA from 1 species
GCCGGGUGCAGUGACACAUGCCUGUAAUCCCAGCGGCUCUGGAGGCUGAGGCAGGAGGAUCAGGAGUUUAAGGCAGCCUCAGCAAUUUAAUGAGGCCUUAAACAAUUCAGUGAGACCCUAUCUAAA